rnacentral:lncRNA from 1 species
ACCAUACUAUUACACCUGUCCCAUAAUCUCUGUUGAGCCACAUUAGUGGCUGGUCGAGGACAGGUUCCAUCUAUGAAACCAAUUUUAUUUUUAGCAGUCAAAGCAACAAUUAUUUUUCUUCUCCAUCCCCCAAAACCAUCACCCGAGAAGGGUGUGGGGACAAGAGAUACCCCGGGAACAUCGGAGGAGUAUUGAAAUAAAGGACUUGAAGAGUCCAAAAUACCAGUAUUGGUGUUAGCAGCCAUGAUAUAUCAACAAGGAAAAACAGAUUUAGCAACCAAAAUGUAACAGAUCAAAUAGCCACACACAAAGCCAAAAUCGAUAUACACAAACCAGGUGCACAAACCAGGUAAUAUUGAAUUUUAAAACAAAGUUACCCUCCUUCUUCGCUACCGGAAGAAUAGGUAAUAUUGGAUUUUAAAACAAAGUUACCCUCCUUCUUCGCUACCGGAAGAUGAUCGGCCUUCAAAUGGUAGUGAAAACCCUAGGUUCAGACGUCGAUUCAGUCACCGGAAAUAUGAGAAACGAUGUCGGAAAGUUACCCAAAACAUCCACGAGAUGAGAAUCGGACCACCGGAAGACGGUAAAUCAGCAAGUCAAAACCACCAAAAACCCUAGAUACCGAUAACUCACCAGAAAUCACCCAAAACCAAUCAAAACGUUGUUAAAACGUUGAGGUUAAGAAGAUUCACCCAGAUAUUAUGGUGUAAAACACUUUGAACCAUGUCCGAUCAAAAACGGAAUCAUCACUGACCAUUCGAUCUCAGGAAAAUCCUCAAAAAUCGUCAAACAAAUGUUCAAAAGUGAUACCGAUAUGCAAAUAAACAUGAUCGGAUCGUUGUAAGGCUCUG